GGGCCCGCACAAGCGGAGGAACAUGUGGUUUAAUUCGAUGAUACGCGAGGAACCUUACCUGGGUUUAAAUGUAUAGUGCAUAGAUCAGAAAUGGUCUUUUCCUUCGGGACUUUAUACAAGGUGCUGCAUGGUUGUCGUCAGCUCGUGCCGUGAGGUGUCGGGUUAAGUCCCAUAACGAGCGCAACCCUUAUCUUUAGUUGCCAUCAGGUCAUGCUGGGCACUCUAACGAGACUGCCACCGUAAGGUGAGAGGAAGGAGGGGAUGACGUCAAAUCAGCACGGCCCUUACACCCAGGGCGACACACGUGUUACAAUGGCCGGUACAGAGGGUCGCUACAUAGUGAUAUGAUGCUAAUCUCAAAAGCCGGUCGUAGUUCGGAUUGGAGUCUGCAACUCGACUCCAUGAAGUUGGAUUCGCUAGUAAUCGCGCAUCAGCCAUGGCG
rnacentral:rRNA from 1 species